CUGCAAAAUUCAUCCCCGAUGAACUUACCACCGUGGUUCCUGAGAAAAACCGAUAUCGCGCAUGCUCUCAACAAGGUUAACUCAAUUGAAAAUGCAAUAAAAGCGUGUGCAGGGAUAAGGUGGAUGGUUUUUCGCUUCCAUUUGAACGAUGGGUGGAAAACCUCGUUAGAUACACCCCUUACACUCGAUUGAGCAUUCACUGAAGCGACGAACGAAAACGCAAAGCCAGCAAGUAAACUUG